rnacentral:rRNA from 1 species
AACGAACGCUGGCGGCAUGCCUAACACAUGCAAGUCGAACGAUUGCCUUCGGGUGAUAGUGGCGCACGGGUGCGUAACGCGUGGGAAUCUGCCCUUAGGUUCGGAAUAACAGCUGGAAACGGCUGCUAAUACCGGAUGAUAUCGCGAGAUCAAAGAUUUAUCGCCUGAGGAUGAGCCCGCGUUGGAUUAGGUAGUUGGUGGGGUAAAGGCCUACCAAGCCGACGAUCCAUAGCUGGUCUGAGAGGAUGAUCAGCCACACUGGGACUGAGACACGGCCCAGACUCCUACGGGAGGCAGCAGUAGGGAAUAUUGGACAAUGGGCGCAAGCCUGAUCCAGCAAUGCCGCGUGAGUGAUGAAGGCCCUAGGGUUGUAAAGCUCUUUUACCCGGGAAGAUAAUGACUGUACCGGGAGAAUAAGCCCCGGCUAACUCCGUG